GCCAGAAAAAAAACAUAUUUUCAAAAAAACCCCUAGUCUUCUAACGGUAUAUUCUUCUCCUCCCCCACUGCUUCUGGUUCGAAAAAUUGAAGCUCUUGUUUUGGAUGAAAGCUACAAAAGACACUGGACAAGCAACACGAGAUUUACACCAUAGCACACAGAUCUGAGGGGAAAUAAAUUUCAAUGCUAAUUUUCAAGGACAGAGCUAGAAGUUGGAAGAAGUUUCUUUCUUCUUGGCCUUCUGCAACUUUCUAGGUUCCAUAGGUAAAAGCUUCACUUAUUGACAAUUCUUACAAUUCUUCACUAGUUUACAAUUGUUGUUGGCUGAUAUGUUGUUUUUGAAAUCUUGUUGUCCAAAUUCAAACUUCUAUAAACACCAGAUUCAAAAUAAUAGAGUGACUUUCAAACUUCUAUCUCCAGAAGAGAGUUAUGUCCUUCAAUUGUUUCGAAUUUUUUUUCUCAUUUUUUUUACAAACUUCUGCAAUUGUUUUUUCCAAAUUCAAACUUCUGCAAUUGUUUUUUUUGUUUGUUUCUCUUUUUUUAGGCAUAGGAAUUUUCUCAAAAUGGAAUUGGGGAUUGGAAUGUUGUUCUGUAAUCAUGAAAUCAAGUAGCUGUUGUGGUUGGUUUUGGUAUUAGGAAAUUUGAUUGCUUUUUGUUUAUGUUCUGGUUAUGCUUGACAACCUUACAUGAUGUACCAUCUUUCCCGAAUAUGAAUGUUUCUUCCAUUUUUGCAGCUGAGUUUGGAAUAUCGGUCAUCUGAAAAGAAUUUUAGUUACUUAGAAUGAGUACACAUGUCCUGUCGAACGAGGAAUUAUUUUUGCUAAUUCAGGACAUCAUUCGCACACACCAACAACAAACCUCUGUCAUUCUCCAUGAGUUUUUCCAACUGAACAAUGUUGGUAGGUGGUCGAGAGCAAACAAUCCACGAUGUUUAUUUCAUCAUUUAGCCCGCAUCCCCACCCAAGUGAGGCGUUUAAAUAGAUUAGUAGGUGUCUCUGGCCGAUCUUGCUUAGAUAAUCUGCGUAUGGAUCGUAAUUGUUUUGGGAGGCUUUGUAUACUUUUUAGAGAACGAGCUAGGUUGGUCGACGGAGCAUUUGUUAAAGUGGAAGAACAAGUAGCAAUUUUCUUAUGUGUAUUAGCACACCAUAAAAAAACAGGAUAGUUAGCUUUGAAUUUUUGCGCUCCAAGCAUACGGUUUCACACUAUGUACAUGUAGUCCUCAACGCCCUAAUAAAACUUCAUGCUCUGUUUGUUGUGAAGCCUACUCCAGUACCAGAUGAUUAUGUCGACAUAGGUGGAAAUGGUUUGAGGGUUGUUUGGGUGCUUUAGAUGGCACCUAUAUCACUGUGCGAGUAGACAUGGCUGACAAACCAAGAUAUCGAACUAGGAAGGGGCAUAUAGCGACAAACACUCUGGCUGCAUGCACUAGAGACAUGCGUUUUACAUAUGUGUUGCCUGGGUGGGAAGGGUCGGCUAGUGAUGCACGAGUCCUACGGGACGCCGUGACACGCGAAUUUGGACUUAAAGUGCCUAGAGGUCACUAUUAUCUAUGUGACAAUGGAUAUGCAAAUAGUGAAGGAUUUUUAACACCUUAUAAAGGAGUUAGAUACCACCUAAAAGAAUGGGGUCCAAACACUUAGAGGCACAAGAAUCCUCGUGAAAUAUUUACCAUGCGGCAUACCAGUGCGAGAAAUGUUAUUGAAAGGGCAUUUGCGGUACUUAAAAUGCGCUGGAGCAUUCUCCGUAGCCCAUCAUUCUACCCGAUAAAAAUACAAAUCAGGUUGAUUAUGGCUUGUUUUCUGUUACAUAAUUACAUUCGAGGUGAGAUGAUUGUAGAUCCAAUUGAGGAGUUAGUGGAUAAUAAUGUAGACGACAUUGGAUUGCAAGAAGAUCAUGACAAUUCAGUGUAUGUAGAUGUUAUUGAACCAACGCCUCAAUGGAAUGACCUACGGGAUCAAAUGGUUGCUGAUAUGUGGGAUGAAGUCCCACGAAGUUCAUGAUGACGAUGAUGCCCCACAGUGCAUGAGCAUGGUUCUUGUUUUGCUUGGUGUUAUCCUUGGAAAGAUGUUGUAGACUUUGCAUUUUGCCUUUUGUAUUUUAGUUUCUCCUAACUUAUGUACCUAAGUGAUGUUAAUCCACAUACAUUAGACCUAUUGUUGACUGAAUCAGGAGCUUGUUUAUUAUAUUUAUAGUACUAUUAGUUUUGUUGUCAUAUAUAAGAAUAUAAUGGUCAUCUUGGCUUGAA